rnacentral:rRNA from 1 species
AUUCAAGGGUGUGGCGCGAGCGACUUCGGUCGCGAAGCAAUUGGAAGUGGUUCCAAGAAAAGCCUCUAAGCUUCAGUCUAACGAUGACCGUACCGCAAACCGACACAGGUGGGCGAGAUGAGUAUUCUAAGGCGCUUGAGAGAACUCGGGAGAAGGAACUCGGCAAAUUGGUACCGUAACUUCGGGAUAAGGUACGCCCUUGUAGCUUGACUGGCCUGCGCCAGGAGGGUGAAGGGGUUGCAAUAAACUGGUGGCUGCGACUGUUUAAUAAAAACACAGCACUCUGCAAACACGAAAGUGGACGUAUAGGGUGUGACGCCUGCCCGGUGCCGGAAGAUUAAAUGAUGGGGUGCAAGCUCUUGAUUGAAGUCCCGGUAAACGGCGGCCGUAACUAUAACGGUCCUAAGGUAGCGAAAUUCCUUGUCGGGUAAGUUCCGACCUGCACGAAUGGCGUAACGAUGGCCACACUGUCUCCUCCCGAGACUCAGCGAAGUUGAAGUGUUUGUGAUGAUGCAAUCUACCCGCGGCUAGACGGAAAGACCCCAUGAACCUUUACUGUAGCUUUGCAUUGGACUUUGAACCGAUCUGUGUAGGAUAGGUGGGAGGCUAUGAAACCGGAACGCUAGUUUCGGUGGAGCCGUCCUUGAAAUACCACCCUGGUUUGUUUGAGGUUCUAACCUUGG